UGGGAACGUGCCCAAAGGUACGGAACAACUCCGGGAAACUGGAGCUAAUACCGUAUGUGCCCGAAAGGGGAAAGAUUCAUCGCCUUUGGAUCGGCCCGCGUCUGAUUAGCCAGUUGGCGGGGUAAUGGCCCACCAAGGCGACGAUCAGUAGCUGGUCUGAGAGGAUGACCAGCCACACUGGGACUGAGACACGGCCCAGACUCCUACGGGAGGCAG
rnacentral:rRNA from 1 species